rnacentral:rRNA from 1 species
GAUGAGCGCUGGCGGCGUGCUUAACACAUGCAAGUCGAACGGAAAGGCCCAAGCUUGCUUGGGUACUCGAGUGGCGAACGGGUGAGUAACACGUGGGUGAUCUGCCCUGCACUUCGGGAUAAGCCUGGGAAACUGGGUCUAAUACCGGAUAGGACCACAUUUUGGAUGGUGUGGUGGAAAGUUUUUCGGUGUGGGAUGAGCUCGCGGCCUAUCAGCUUGUUGGUGGGGUAAUGGCCUACCAAGGCGUCGACGGGUAGCCGGCCUGAGAGGGUGUACGGCCACAUUGGGACUGAGAUACGGCCCAGACUCCUACGGGAGGCAGCAGUGGGGAAUAUUGCACAAUGGGCGCAAGCCUGAUGCAGCGACGCCGCGUGGGGGAUGACGGCCUUCGGGUUGUAAACUCCUUUCGCUAGGGACGAAGCGUUAUGUGACGGUACCUGGAGAAGAAGCACCGGCUAACUACGU